rnacentral:rRNA from 1 species
GCAUAUCAAUAAGCGGAGGAAAAGAAACCAACAGGGGAUUGCCUCAGUAACGGCGAAGUGAAGCGGCAACAGCUCAAAUUUGAAAUCUGGCCCUAGGCCCGAGUUGUAAUUUGCAGAGGAUGUUUCUGGCGAGGUGCCUUCCGAGUUCCCUGGAACGGGACGCCAUAGAGGGUGAGAGCCCCGUACGGUUGGUCGCUAAGCCUCUGUGAAACUCCUUCGACGAGUCGAGUAGUUUGGGAAUGCUGCUCUAAAUGGGAGGUAUACGUCUUCUAAAGCUAAAUACCGGCCAGAGACCGAUAGCGCACAAGUAGAGUGAUCGAAAGAUGAAAAGCACUUUGAAAAGAGGGUUAAAUAGUACGUGAAAUUGUUGAAAGGGAAGCGCUUAUGACCAGACUUGGACCGGUUGAUCAUCCAUCGUUCUCGGUGGUGCACUCUGCCGGUUCAGGCCAGCAUCAGUUUGUCCCGGGGGAUAAAGGCUUUGGGAAUGUGGCUCUUCGGAGUGUUAUAGCCCACUGCGUAAUACCCUGGGGUAGACUGAGGUUCGCGCUCCGCAAGGAUGCUGGCGUAAUGGUCAUCAGUGACCCGUCUUGAAACACGGACCAAGGAGUCGUCUUCGUAUGCGAGUGUUCGGGUGUCAAACCCCUACGCGGAAUGAAAGUGAACGUAGGAGAGAGCUUCGGCGCAUCUCCGACCGAUCCUGAUGUUCUCGGAUGGAUUUGAGUAAGAGCAUACGGGGCCGGACCCGAAAGAAGGUGAACUAUGCUUGUAUAGGGUGAAGCCAGAGGAAACUCUGGUGGAGGCUCGCAGCGGUUCUGACGUGCAAAUCGAUCGUCAAAUAUGAGCAUGGGGGGCGAAAGACUAAUCGAACCUUCUAGUAGCUGGUUUCCGCCGA